UGAGGGUCAACGAGGGAUCGUGUAUUACCCGCCGCUCAACACUUCAUAAGCGCCAAGUUGUGUCACGGCCUCCACGCCUGUUCGGAUGUCUGGAGAAAGCGUCAGUGCCAUGGAGGAGGCGCGGGGAGAGGGGAAGGAGACCACGGGUGAGCAGAAUGGAACAGAUGACCGCUGAAGUUUGACUGAUGGAUGGCUGGAUUAUCUUCCACCACUGUGUAUACAAGGCAUCUGUCUCACCAUCCAGGGUGCUCGUUGGUGGUCUGCAACACCUGAAGGAAUGUCACAAGCUUUGACUGAAACCACAGUUUGUUGAAGGAUGGCUAUGCUGGUAGGGCCCACAGUACAGCUCAUCACACCACACUGAAAGCAGUAGCAAUGUUGAAAUUAAGACUAGUUCCCACUUCAUCAGCAACAGUGAAAUUAAAGAACAUAAUCAAGUAAGUGAACUUAACCUGGUAGCAGCGACAGGCCAAAUUUUUGCAAUGAUACAAACCCCACAAAAUGGAUGAUGCAUAAACUGAUCACAAAUGCGUUGAUAUACAUUAUGAAAUGGUUUGUGCGAGUAAUAAUUUCUUUUCACUUUUCUCGCUUAGAGGGCCCUUUAAGAAAUGUGAUCCCGCAGCUACCUGGUUAAAGAUCUAUGUUCGUUUCAUAUGUUUUCUGUAAUGAGCUAUUAUUUGUGUUGGUAAAUUUUAAUAGAUACUAGUGCAGACUUCUUGUCUAUCAGGUAUUUUGAACCAAGUAGUUUUUAUUAGAUGUACUUUAGGCCUAAAAAUGCAUAUUUUCUAUAUAUUCUUUUUUUUUAAGAUUUUAGACUUAUCAGUGAUAUUUGUCAAUUUUAUUGAUAAUUUUGCCAGUUUACUGCUAUUACUGAAGAAUUUUAACACUCACCUUAACUGGAAUGUCAAGAUAACAUUCCAUCACAAUUUUUCAUAAGUGGACGUAGGCAAGUCAUAUCAAACAUAGCACUGAUAACAGAUAGACAACAAAAGUAACAGUGGCAACCCAGAGAUUGUAUAAGUCAGCGCAGGCAGAGGACCAGGUGUCGAGAUGAAAUCAAAGCUUUUGCUGGAGCAGAUGGAGUACACUAAUGUCAGAUAAAGGUCGAUAACAGUAGGAAAUUCCUCUGUCCCACAGUGGACUUUUAAUGGGUGAUGAUGAUUGCUAUAACUGUGCAUGACCUCUGUGCUCAUCUCAAUUUUA